ACACUAUCAUUAACUGAAUCCAUAGGUUAAUGAGGCGAACCGGGGGAACUGAAACAUCUAAGUACCCCGAGGAAAAGAAAUCAACCGAGAUUCCCCCAGUAGCGGCGAGCGAACGGGGAGCAGCCCAGAGCCUGAAUCAGUGUGUGUGUUAGUGGAAGCGUCUGGAAAGGCGCGCGAUACAGGGUGACAGCCCCGUACACAAAAAUGCACAUGCUGUGAGCUCGAUGAGUAGGGCGGGACACGUGGUAUCCUGUCUGAAUAUGGGGGGACCAUCCUCCAAGGCUAAAUACUCCUGACUGACCGAUAGUGAACCAGUACCGUGAGGGAAAGGCGAAAAGAACCCCGGCGAGGGGAGUGAAAAAGAACCUGAAACCGUGUACGUACAAGCAGUGGGAGCACGCUUCGGCGUGUGACUGCGUACCUUUUGUAUAAUGGGUCAGCGACUUAUAUUCUGUAGCAAGGUUAACCGAAUAGGGGAGCCGAAGGGAAACCGAGUCUUAACUGGGCGUUAAGUUGCAGGGUAUAGACCCGAAACCCGGUGAUCUAGCCAUGGGCAGGUUGAAGGUUGGGUAACACUAACUGGAGGACCGAACCGACUAAUGUUGAAAAAUUAGCGGAUGACUUGUGGCUGGGGGUGAAAGGCCAAUCAAACCGGGAGAUAGCUGGUUCUCCCCGAAAGCUAUUUAGGUAGCGCCUCGUGAAUUCAUCUCCGGGGGUAGAGCACUGUUUCGGCAAGGGGGUCAUCCCGACUUACCAACCCGAUGCAAACUGCGAAUACCGGAGAAUGUUAUCACGGGAGACACACGGCGGGUGCUAACGUCCGUCGUGAAGAGGGAAACAACCCAGACCGCCAGCUAAGGUCCCAAAGUCAUGGUUAAGUGGGAAACGAUGUGGGAAGGCCCAGACAGCCAGGAUGUUGGCUUAGAAGCAGCCAUCAUUUAAAGAAAGCGUAAUAGCUCACUGGUCGAGUCGGCCUGCGCGGAAGAUGUAACGGGGCUAAACCAUGCACCGAAGCUGCGGCAGCGACACUAUGUGUUGUUGGGUAGGGGAGCGUUCUGUAAGCCUGUGAAGGUGUGCUGUGAGGCAUGCUGGAGGUAUCAGAAGUGCGAAUGCUGACAUAAGUAACGAUAAAGCGGGUGAAAAGCCCGCUCGCCGGAAGACCAAGGGUUCCUGUCCAACGUUAAUCGGGGCAGGGUGAGUCGACCCCUAAGGCGAGGCCGAAAGGCGUAGUCGAUGGGAAACAGGUUAAUAUUCCUGUACUUGGUGUUACUGCGAAGGGGGGACGGAGAAGGCUAUGUUGGCCGGGCGACGGUUGUCCCGGUUUAAGCGUGUAGGCUGGUUUUCCAGGCAAAUCCGGAAAAUCAAGGCUGAGGCGUGAUGACGAGGCACUACGGUGCUGAAGCAACAAAUGCCCUGCUUCCAGGAAAAGCCUCUAAGCAUCAGGUAACAUCAAAUCGUACCCCAAACCGACACAGGUGGUCAGGUAGAGAAUACCAAGGCGCUUGAGAGAACUCGGGUGAAGGAACUAGGCAAAAUGGUGCCGUAACUUCGGGAGAAGGCACGCUGAUAUGUAGGUGAAGUCCCUCGCGGAUGGAGCUGAAAUCAGUCGAAGAUACCAGCUGGCUGCAACUGUUUAUUAAAAACACAGCACUGUGCAAACACGAAAGUGGACGUAUACGGUGUGACGCCUGCCCGGUGCCGGAAGGUUAAUUGAUGGGGUCAGCGCAAGCGAAGCUCUUGAUCGAAGCCCCGGUAAACGGCGGCCGUAACUAUAACGGUCCUAAGGUAGCGAAAUUCCUUGUCGGGUAAGUUCCGACCUGCACGAAUGGCGUAAUGAUGGCCAGGCUGUCUCCACCCGAGACUCAGUGAAAUUGAACUCGCUGUGAAGAUGCAGUGUACCCGCGGCAAGACGGAAAGACCCCGUGAACCUUUACUAUAGCUUGACACUGAACAUUGAGCCUUGAUGUGUAGGAUAGGUGGGAGGCUUUGAAGUGUGGACGCCAGUCUGCAUGGAGCCGACCUUGAAAUACCACCCUUUAAUGUUUGAUGUUCUAACGUUGACCCGUAAUCCGGGUUGCGGACAGUGUCUGGUGGGUAGUUUGACUGGGGCGGUCUCCUCCUAAAGAGUAACGGAGGAGCACGAAGGUUGGCUAAUCCUGGUCGGACAUCAGGAGGUUAGUGCAAUGGCAUAAGCCAGCUUGACUGCGAGCGUGACGGCGCGAGCAGGUGCGAAAGCAGGUCAUAGUGAUCCGGUGGUUCUGAAUGGAAGGGCCAUCGCUCAACGGAUAAAAGGUACUCCGGGGAUAACAGGCUGAUACCGCCCAAGAGUUCAUAUCGACGGCGGUGUUUGGCACCUCGAUGUCGGCUCAUCACAUCCUGGGGCUGAAGUAGGUCCCAAGGGUAUGGCUGUUCGCCAUUUAAAGUGGUACGCGAGCUGGGUUUAGAACGUCGUGAGACAGUUCGGUCCCUAUCUGCCGUGGGCGCUGGAGAACUGAGGGGGGCUGCUCCUAGUACGAGAGGACCGGAGUGGACGCAUCACUGGUGUUCGGGUUGUCAUGCCAAUGGCACUGCCCGGUAGCUAAAUGCGGAAGAGAUAAGUGCUGAAAGCAUCUAAGCACGAAACUUGCCCCGAGAUGAGUUCUCCCUGAC
rnacentral:rRNA from 1 species